rnacentral:rRNA from 1 species
AUGUUUACCGAGCUUCCGUUAGAUGAAACUCGGCAAACAAAGGCCGCCAUCACGGCUCCGUCGCCUGCUGCAAGACGUGGCCCACGUGUCAGACUUUGCCGAGUUCCUUCUGUUGGGAACUCAGCGAACUUGAUAUUCUGCUCAGAUUUUUUUUUGCUGAGUCGUUUUUCAUCAGAACCUGGAAAAGCCAGAGCUCUGCCGAGUUGCUUAUCAUUGGCACCACGUGAUGAUGUUUUAAUGAAGGAUGCUGCGUUGAAACGCAAAAUCAUGGAAGUGCCUAAGUCAGCAAAGAAGAUGACAAUGGAAGUGUUGUCAAUAAUGGAGAAAUCUAAGGAACCUAGCUCAAAUAUAAUGAAAGCUACCAAUCUAGCUUUCUCUGGUGAUGAUGGCAUAACCAAGAGCACUAGGAGGAUGGAAUUGAACUUGAAGGAGGCACUCGCCCAACGCAAUAAAUGCAUGGAGCUUGAUGAGAUUUGUUAUGAUUGCGAUUGGAUGGCCCCUAGAUACACAUUAGUACCUUCACUAGCAGAUGGAAUGCACGUCUGUGAAGUACGUGUGAAAUGCCCUGAUUUUGAGAUGAGCAUCACUGGUGAUCCUUGUCCGACCCCACAUGACGAGAGGUGCUCUGCAGCUGCCAAUAUGAUACUGGAGCUUGGCAAGAAGGCGGAGGAAAACGAACAACAUGAUAACUGA